rnacentral:tRNA from 1 species
GGGGACAUGGCUCAGUGGUAGAGCAUCUGCUUUGCAUGUAGAAGGUCCUAAAUCCGCUCCCCA